CACGGCGACUAUAUCCCUGGUGUUCACCUCUUCCCAUUCCGAACAGAGUCGUUAAGCCCAGGAGAGCCGAUGGUACUGCUUUAUUGCGGGAGAGUAGGUCGUCGCCGAGU
rnacentral:rRNA from 1 species